rnacentral:rRNA from 1 species
AUGGCUCAGGACGAACGCUGGCGGCACGCUUAACACAUGCAAGUCGAACGAGCGAAAGGUGCUUGCACCUCUAGCUAGUGGCGGACGGGUGAGUAACACGUGAGCAAUCUGCCUUUCGGUGGGGGAUACCAAUUGGAAACGAUUGUUAAUACCCCAUAACAUAACGAAGCCGCAUGACUUUGUUAUCAAAGAUUUAUUGCCGGAAGAUGAGCUCGCGUCUGAUUAGGUAGUUGGUGAGGUAACGGCUCACCAAGCCGACGAUCAGUAGCCGGACUGAGAGGUUGAACGGCCACAUUGGGACUGAGACACGGCCCAGACUCCUACGGGAGGCAGCAGUGGGGAAUAUUGCACAAUGGGCGAAAGCCUUGAUGCAGCGAUGCCGCGUGAGGGAAGAAGGUUUUAGGAUUGUAAACCUCUGUCUUUGGGGACGAUAAUGACGGUACCCAAGGAGGAAGCUCCGGCUAACUACGUGCCAGCCGCGGC